rnacentral:rRNA from 1 species
UCAUAUGGAUUCCUACGGGAGGCAGCAGUGGGGAAUAUUGGACAAUGGGCGAAAGCCUGAUCCAGCCAUGCCGCGUGUGUGAAGAAGGUCUUCGGAUUGUAAAGCACUUUAAGUUGGGAGGAAGGGCAGUAAGCUAAUACCUUGCUGUUUUGACGUUACCGACAGAAUAAGCACCGGCUAACUCUGUGCCAGCAGCCGCGGUAAUACAGAGGGUGCAAGCGUUAAUCGGAAUUACUGGGCGUAAAGCGCGCGUAGGUGGUUCGUUAAGUUGGAUGUGAAAGCCCCGGGCUCAACCUGGGAACUGCAUCCAAAACUGGCGAGCUAGAGUAUGGUAGAGGGUGGUGGAAUUUCCUGUGUAGCGGUGAAAUGCGCGCAACCCUU